AUUGAACGCUGGCGGCAGGCCUAACACAUGCAAGUCGAGCGGAUGAAGGGAGCUUGCUCCUGGAUUCAGCGGCGGACGGGUGAGUAAUGCCUAGGAAUCUGCCUGGUAGUGGGGGAUAACGUCCGGAAACGGGCGCUAAUACCGCAUACGUCCUGAGGGAGAAAGUGGGGGAUCUUCGGACCUCACGCUAUCAGAUGAGCCUAGGUCGGAUUAGCUAGUUGGUGGGGUAAGGGCUUACCAAGGCGACGAUCCGUAACUGGUCUGAGAGGAUGAUCAGUCACACUGGAACUGAGACACGGUCCAGACUCCUACGGGAGGCAGCAGUGGGGAAUAUUGGACAAUGGGCGAAAGCCUGAUCCAGCCAUGCCGCGUGUGUGAAGAAGGUCUUCGGAUUGUAAAGCACUUUAAGUUGGGAGGAAGGGCAGUAAGUUAAUACCUUGAUGUUUUGACGGUACCAACAGAAUAAGCACCGGCUAACUUCGUG
rnacentral:rRNA from 1 species